CUCUUAUAGGUCCAAUGCGUGCUCUCUGAACUCCAGCAGCAACCGCGUCCCUCUCUUGCCCUGCAUUAUCACCAGGUAAAGUUUCAUUAGCUUGUUGAACACGGUUGUAAGUGUUUUGCAUUCUUCUGGUUAUCUCAGGUAUCAUAGCCUCAAAUUGAACUUGGUUGAGGUUGAUUUGCUGGACAGCCGGUUCUCCUGAACUCUCAGGUUGCUUUCCAUCUCGCCUCUCUUCACUCAUUGUUCCUGAAAUAGUUAGAGAAAACACAACGCCAGGAACAAAAUUAUAUCUCUCUCUCACUCAAGUUUUCAAAUCGCCAAGUCUCAGCUCUUCCCACAAGUUCAGUUGAAAAACAAAGUUCUACACUUAAGAUCUAGAACUAAAACCCCAAUGAAUCAGAUAGGAAGUAUUAAGAGAUUUAGGCACCAGCUGACUUUACCACCCUGAGCUGGAUUUCUCCUCAGCUAGCUGGAUUACUCUUCAGCUAUAUAUUUUUUUUUGAUUUGGAUCAGAGAUCUCUUUUCUUUUCUUUUUUUUUUUUUUGAUUUGCAGGGUUGGCUCAGCUGGCUUACAACAGAUAGAAAGAUAAGAGAAGUGUUUGAUGGAAUGAAUGAUCUGAGUAGUCAAAUUGCAAACCCUAACCUUCAAGUGGCUCUGAUACCACUUGGUGCAGCCUGGGUAUGGCUUAAACUCUGGAUCACUUGAAGGUGGAUGGAUAGAAGAUGUUCUAAGAGGCUACUAGCUCUCCUUUGAACUGUGGACGUCUCCCUGAGCCUAUGGGUUGGCGCCAAGGAUGGUUUGCUACUCAAAGACACAAGAUCACCUUGUAUUGUCUAAGAUGGGAUUUACAGGAAUUCCUUCCUUUAAGUGAGAUCAAUGUUCUAGAGCUGAACAGAGAAAGCUAGAGACAAGACAACAAAGUUGACUGAAUAAUUCUUAGAUUGAAAGUUGAGAAAACAAGGCUGCAGCCCCCAUGUUCUUAAAGUGAAAA
rnacentral:lncRNA from 1 species